rnacentral:misc_RNA from 1 species
AAAGUCGUAACAAGGUCUCCGUUGGUGAACCAGCGGAGGGAUCAUUACAAGAAGCCGAAAGGCUACUUCAAACCAUUGCGAACUCGUCCAAGUUGCUUCGGCGGUGCGGCUCCCCCUGGGGUGCCGCGGCGCCGCACCUCUCUGGAGGUGCGGGGCGCCCGCCGGAGGUCAAAAACUCUUAUGUAUUAUAGUGGCAUCUCUGAGUAAAACACAAAUAAGUUAAAACUUUCAACAACGGAUCUCUUGGUUCUG